GACGAACGCUGGCGGCGUGCUUAACACAUGCAAGUCGAACGGAAAGGCCCUGCUUUUGUGGGGUGCUCGAGUGGCGAACGGGUGAGUAACACGUGAGUAACCUGCCCUUGACUUUGGGAUAACUUCAGGAAACUGGGGCUAAUACCGGAUAGGAGCUCCUGCUGCAUGGUGGGGGUUGGAAAGUUUCGGCGGUUGGGGAUGGACUCGCGGCUUAUCAGCUUGUUGGUGGGGUAGUGGCUUACCAAGGCUUUGACGGGUAGCCGGCCUGAGAGGGUGACCGGCCACAUUGGGACUGAGAUACGGCCCAGACUCCUACGGGAGGCAGCGGUGGGGAAUAUUGCACAAUGGGCGGAAGCCUGAUGCAGCAACGCCGCGUGCGGGAUGACGGCCUUCGGGUUGUAAACCGCUUUCGCCUGUGACGAAGCGUGAGUGACGGUAAUGGGUAAAGAAGCGCCGGCUAACUACGUG
rnacentral:rRNA from 1 species